GGAAACGGGGGAGACGAGGUGAGAAAAGAAUUCAAGGCAGGUCUGAUGAAAACAAACUUUUUCCUCUUCUUCUUAGGCUCAACAGAGGAUACUUCCCCUGUGGUCACCAAAAUGCAUUGUGGGAAUUUGUCCCCAUCAGCAACCAAUUAUCCAGCAGAUACCAGCUGGAUGUCCUCUAAUCCAGAGUUCACAUCCACAUGUGCCAUUUCCAACGGUCUCUGAAGGACACAGCACAGGUUUGCUCUCAAGGAAACUAAGGAAUCCACCAAUGGGACUCAACCAGAGAAACAGUCAAAGCUUUAACUCCAGCACUGUUUAUUGCAGCUUUAUUUGUAAAAGCAGAAAUUGGAAACAACAUAGACAGUUUAAAGGGUGAAGAUGAUUGAAAAAUUACAAUACAUCUCUUUAUGCAGCCAUCAGAAUCCAUGUUUUCAAUGGCAUGAGCAAAUUCUCAACAGGUAAAUUGAAGUAAAAAAAAGGGCAUACAACUAUAUUCAGCAUACCAAUCUUGUGUGAAACAAAAACGUUAAG
rnacentral:lncRNA from 1 species